rnacentral:lncRNA from 1 species
UUUCUAAGAAAAAUGGGUUUCUUUCACAAAAUGGCUCUUUUCUAAGGAACUAAAAUUUGCUUUAGAAAGCAGAUUGAGAACAAGCAACAUUGGUAUCAGGAAGACUUUAGGACUGGAUGAAAUUAUGGGAGGAUACUAAAAGGAUUGGAAAUGGCAGAAAAGAACUGAGCAGAAUGUCAUGAGAACUGCAUGGAAAGAAAAUAUUUAGAUGAUAAAAACAACUGAGGAGACAGACAGGAUAUCCUAGUGGUUUGCACAUCACUGAUCACUGGAAGAUUGAACAUUCCGCUUCAGAGGAAGAGCAAGAAGAAGGUAAGCUUCAUUUUAUUUGUCAGCCAUAGAAGGAGUAGCUUCAGGGAGUUUGCUUAUUUUCUAUUUGCCAGGAA